GUUCUGUUAGAGUAGCACAAAAUGAACUAAGACUUCUACUAAUAGUGACCAAUAGGAAUUUAUUUUCCUCCUAUACCCAGAAGCCUUCUGGUAAGCAGUGGGCAGCCUUGAUCAUAGCUGUAGUGCAGAGGUGAUUCCUUAGGCAUUUUUUAUGGCUAUGAUGUAAUUGCUGAAGUUCCAAGAAUCAUAUUUCAGUGUAGGGCAGAAAAGGAGGAGGAAAAGCAGAGCCAGCUGUUUCUGUCUCUUUCAUCCUGAAGCCAAAAGAUUUCUUGGAAUUCCUCUAGCUGACUUUCCCUUUGCCUCAUUGACUAGAACUUGAUUACGUGGACAUAGCCAACUGCAGGCCAGGCUUGGUGCCCAUAUUUGAAUCUUUAAUGUAGGGCUACUGCAGUGACGCUGCCAACAAAUGACUUAAGGAGUUUUUGUCAUUUAUUUGGGAUUUUCUACAUGGACAAGCAUGUCAUCUAUAAACAAAGGUAGUACUAUUUCUUUCUUGCCCAACACUCAAUUUUAGUGAAAAACUCUCCGAUUUCUCAACAGUAAGUAUAAUGUGAGUUGUAGUUGUUUAGUUUUUUUUUUUAUUAUUUUAUAAAUGGUGUUUCCCUAAUUUUGUUUUGCUUAUUUGUUUGCAAAUUGAAAAUGUUUCCUUCUAUUUCAAGUUGUUGGGAGUUUUUAUCAUUAAUUAGUUUUGGAUUGUUUUAUUCUUUUACUGUACUAAUUAAUAUGAUCAUCUUAUUUUCCUUUU
rnacentral:lncRNA from 10 species